AUCAGCAGCCAACAUGAAGUUUCUGAGAGGCUGAACUUUGUGAAAGUUUUUUCCAGGAAACUUUGUCCUUUUCUGGGGCCUGGCAGUAUCUAGCCAUCAUCCUGCUUUGAGAUUCAGGCCUUGACUUUGAGCUGGAGCGACCCUUCGAGUAAAGGGGAAGUGACUGCCUGCAUGUCCUCACCUGAGCAAGAUUCCCAUCAGCAGCUGGUGACUUUGCAAUUCAUUAUGUAUCAUAAGCACAACAAAAGACAAUCCAGUACAGUCRCACUUGAAGUGGAACCAUUAUUUAUGGAUGAAGAGAGUGCCUAG
rnacentral:lncRNA from 1 species